AGCUGUUAAGCCGGUGGGUAGCCAAUAUGAGGCGAGAUAAGUGGCGCCAACUCAAUAUAGCAACAUAUGCUCGUUUCACUUUGAAGAUAGAUACAUGUAUAGUACAAACGAGAAAACGUGACUUCCGGCAAACGCAGUAUCGAUAAUAUUUUUGUUUCCUGGCCAUCUGCAGAAAACAACUAUAGUAUAGAGACAACCAAGGAAAUAGCCUGUCAGUGAAGAAUCAGUUUCCUUAUCAAAUGAACCAGAUGGAGUCUGAGACGGCGAGCCUGGAUGCAGUCACUUUGGACUGGAACGGCCAGCGAGAUGUUUCAGGGCCCCACAGCAAAUUCUUGUGUCAGGACCUGUAUAUUAUACACCAAUAAAAGAAUUGAAGGGCCGAAACUUCCAACCAUCUAAGCGCCAUUUUUUCACAUAAUGCAUUUUCGGUGCUAUUAUGCUCUCAGUAGUCUAUUGCAUGCAUGUUGCAAGUGCCAAAUCAUGGAGAAAAUAUUUCAGACAUUCAUUACCAUGUUCACAUGGCAUUAAUCAUGAAUAAUAUAAAAAAUAAAAAUCAGAUCACAUUUUGCUUAGGCACA